rnacentral:rRNA from 1 species
CACGUAGGGGGCAAGCGUUGUCCGGAAUCAUUGGGCGUAAAGAGCUCGUAGGCGGCUCAGUAAGUCGGGUGUGAAACCUCCAGGCUCAACCUGGAGACGCCACCCGAUACUGCUGUGGCUAGAGUCCAGUAGGGGAGUGUGGAAUUCCCGGUGUAGCGGUGAAAUGCGCAGAUAUCUGGAGGAACACCGGUGGCGAAGGCGGAUCUCUGGGCCAUUACUGACGCUGAGGAGCGAAAGCGUGGGGAGCGAACAGG